rnacentral:rRNA from 1 species
CCUACGGGAGGCAGCAGUCGGGAAUUUUGGGCAAUGGGCGAAAGCCUGACCCAGCAACGCCGCGUGAAGGAUGAAAUCCCUCGGGAUGUAAACUUCGCAAGAACGGGAAGAAUAAGCCGGUGCCAAUAACACCGGCGAUGACGGUACUGUUUGUAAGCUCCGGCUAACUCCGUGCCAGCAGCCGCGGUAAUACGGGGGGAGCAAGCGUUGUUCGGAUUUACUGGGCGUAAAGGGCGCGUAGGCGGCCACCGCAAGUCGACUGUGAAAUCUCCGGGCUUAACUCGGAAAGGUCAGCCGAUACUGCGGGGCUAGAGUGCAGAAGGGGCAACUGGAAUUCUCGGUGUAGCGGUGAAAUGCGUAGAUAUCGAGAGGAACACCUGCGGCGAAGGCGGGUUGCUGGGCUGACACUGACGCUGAGGCGCGAAAGCUAGGGGAGCGAACGGGAUUAGAUACCCCGGUAGUCCUAGCCUUAAACGAUGAAUGCUUGGUGUCUGGGGUUUUAUAGUCCCCGGGUGCCGUCGCUAACGCUUUAAGCAUUCCGCCUGGGGAGUACGGUCGCAAGACUGAAACUCAAAGGAAUUGACGG